rnacentral:rRNA from 1 species
UACGGAGGGUGCGAGCGUUAUCCGGAUUCACUGGGUUUAAAGGGUGCGUAGGUGGGCAGGUAAGUCAGUGGUGAAAUCUCCGGGCUUAACCCGGAAACUGCCAUUGAUACUAUUUGUCUUGAAUACUGUGGAGGUCAGCGGAAUAUGUCAUGUAGCGGUGAAAUGCUUAGAUAUGACAUAGAACACCAAUUGCGAAGGCAGCUGGCUACACAAAUAUUGACACUGAGGCACGAAAGCGUGGGGAUCAAACAGG